AUUGAACGCUGGCGGCAUGCUUUACACAUGCAAGUCGAACGGCAGCGGGGGGGAGCUUGCUUCCCUGCCGGCGAGUGGCGAACGGGUGAGUAAUACAUCGGAACGUGUCGAGAAGAGGGGGAUAACCACCGGAAACUGUGGCUAAUACCGCAUAAAUCCUGAGGGAGAAAGCUGGGGACCUAGGGAUAUGCCUAGCGCUUUUUGACCGGCCGAUGUCGGAUUAGCUAGUUGGUGAGGUAAAGGCCCACCAAGGCGAAGAUCUGUAGCUGGUCUGAGAGGAUGAUCAGCCACACUGGAACUGAGACACGGCCCAGACUCCUACGGGAGGCAGCAGUGGGGAAUUUUGGACAAUGGGCGCAAGCCUGAUCCAGCCAUGCCGCGUGUAUGAAGAAGGCCUUAGGGUUGUAAAGUACUUUUGUUAGGGAAGAAAAGUUAGAUGCUAAUAAUCGCUGAUAAUGACGGUACCUAAAGAAUAAGCACCGGCUAACUUCGUG
rnacentral:rRNA from 1 species